rnacentral:rRNA from 1 species
GAUGAACGCUGGCGGCGUGCCUAAUACAUGCAAGUCGAGCGAACAGACGAGGAGCUUGCUCCUCUGACGUUAGCGGCGGACGGGGGAGUAACACGUGGAUAACCUACCUAUAAGACUGGGAUAACUUCGGGAAACCGGAGCUAAUACCGGAUAAUAUAUUGAACCGCAUGGUUCAAUAGUGAAAGACGGUUUUGCUGUCACUUAUAGAUGGAUCCGUGCCGCAUUAGCUAGUUGGUAAGGUAACGGCUUACCAAGGCAACGAUGCGUAGCCGACCUGAGAGGGUGAUCGGCCACACUGGAACUGAGACACGGUCCAGACUCCUACGGGAGGCAGCAGUAGGGAAUCUUCCGCAAUGGGCGAAAGCCUGACGGAGCAACGCCGCGUGAGUGAUGAAGGUCUUCGGAUCGUAAAACUCUGUUAUUAGGGAAGAACAAAUGUGUAAGUAACUAUGCACGUCUUGACGGUACCUAAUCAGAAAGCCACGGCUAACUACGUG